CAGGUGUCCAUACACCGCGGCGAAGAAAAGCGGCGUCUCUCCACUUGGCGUCCGACUCUCCCCGGCUCCCUGGAAGGAAGCUGCGGGUCAUGUCAGGACACAACAACAUUAUGAGCACCUGCAAAAGUGAUCUCCAGUAUGCUCUUCUUCUCCUGGGCUGCUGCUUCAUGGAUGGGUAGCCAGCCUCUACUGUCCGUCUUGCAGAAAGCAUCCUGAUGCUGGGCUAGUCUUCUGAGGGCUUCCUCGUCACCUAACUCCAUUCAGACGUGCCAGGGGAUAGAGAGAGCUCUGUUCAGAUCUUGGCAGAGAACUCAUAAGAUGUACUGAUGUAUUCUCAUAGGGACAUAGCUAUAGAUGAAGAGGAUGAAUCACUGGAUACACCUCACCUGUUCUUAUGGCUGUGAGGAUUUUGUCAACGUCAAUGGUAUCCUCGGGCUCACUGAAGAAUUACAAUGACAUCAAUAGAAUUUUGUGUGUUGUUUUCUCCCACCAACAUGCAACUAGUUUAUCAUGUGGGAUGCGGGACAGUGCUGUUUGCGAGACGUACUUGCUGUCACACUGCUUGUUGUACUGCAAGAGACUCUGUUCAAUCAUGUACUGCGUGGCCUCGUCCUCAUCCUCAUCCCAGUCCUCAUCAGCUCCUUCAAAGUCUGCCUCCAUGCUUCUGUUUAGCAAGCAAAUGAUGACUGAGAAUGCCCUUUAAACUUGUGAAACAGGAGCUUAAAUCCUUUACUUGUUGGCAAUUAAUUCAUAGCUGCAGGAGAGGUCAACAGCCUCAGAAUAUUACAUUCCACAGAGGUUGUUCAAAUAAAUGAAAGUAAAACAACUAAA